rnacentral:rRNA from 1 species
UCGCACGAGAAAGUGGAGCAAUCCAUGAGUACAGUGGCGUACGGGUGAGUAACACGUGGAUCAUCUACCUUCUAGUGGGGAAUACCUCCGGGAAACUGGAGACAAUACCGCAUAAGCUCGUAAGAGGAAAGCAGCAAUGCGCUGGAAGAGGAGUCCGCGGCUGAUUAGCUAGUUGGCGGGGUAAUGGCCCACCAAGGCGAAGAUCGGUAGCCGGCCUGAGAGGGCACACGGCCACACUGGCACUGAAAUACGGGCCAGACUCCUACGGGAGGCAGCAGUGGGGAAUCUUGCACAAUGGAGGAAACUCUGAUGCAGCGACGCCGCGUGAGCGAUGAAGCCCUUCGGGGUGUAAAGCUCUUUCGACGGGAACGAUAAUGACGGUACCCGAAGAAGAAGCUGCGGCUAACUACGUGCCAGCAGCCGCGGUAAUACGUAGGCAGCAAGCGUUGUUCGGAAUUACUGGGCGUAAAGAGUGUGUAGGCGGUGUUCUAAGUCUGUUGUGAAAUCUCCCGGCUUAACUGGGAGGGUGCGGCGGAAACUGGAAUGCUAGAGGAUGGGAGAGGUAAGCGGAAUUCCUGGUGUAGCGGUGAAAUGCGUAGAUAUCAGGAGGAACACCUGUGGUGUAGACAGCUUACUGGACCAUUUCUGACGCUGAGACACGAAAGCGUGGGUAGCAAACAGGAUUAGAUACCCUGGUAGUCCACGCCCUAAACGAUGCAUACUUGGUGUGAGCGAUUCAUUUCGUUCGUGCCGGAGCUAACGCGUUAAGUAUGCCGCCUGGGGAGUACGGUCGCA